rnacentral:rRNA from 1 species
UACGGGGGGAGCAAGCGUUGUUCGGAUUUACUGGGCGUAAAGGGCGCGUAGGCGGCCAGCACAAGUCAGUUGUGAAAUCUCCGAGCUUAACUCGGAACGGUCAACUGAUACUGUGCGGCUAGAGUGCGGAAGGGGCAACUGGAAUUCUUGGUGUAGCGGUGAAAUGCGUAGAUAUCAGGAGGAACACCUGCGGUGUAGACGGCUUUCUGGACCAUUGUUGACGCUGAGACACGAAAGCGUGGGUAGCAAACAGG